rnacentral:rRNA from 1 species
GACAGAGGGUGCAAACGUUGCUCGGAAUUACUGGGCGUAAAGCGCGUGUAGGCGGACUGGUGUGUCGGAUGUGAAAUCCCCAGGCUCAACCUGGGAACUGCAUUCGAAACUGCCAGCCUUGAGUGGUGGAGAGGGAAGUGGAAUUCCUGGUGUAGAGGUGAAAUGCGUAGAUAUCGGGAGGAACACCAGUGGCGAAGGCGACUACCUGGCCUGUUCUUGACGCUGAGGCGCGAAAGCGUGGGGAGCAAACAGGG